rnacentral:rRNA from 1 species
UGAUGCAGCCAUGCCGCGUGUGUGAAGAAGGCCUUCGGGUUGUAAAGCACUUUCAGCAGUGAGGAAGGCGGUAUCGUUAAUAGCGGUAUUGUUUGACGUUAGCUGCAGAAGAAGCACCGGCUAACUCCGUGCCAGCAGCCGCGGUAAUACGGAGGGUGCGAGCGUUAAUCGGAAUUACUGGGCGUAAAGCGCAUGCAGGCGGCUUGUUAAGCCAGAUGUGAAAGCCCGGGGCUCAACCUCGGAAUCGCAUUUGGAACUGGCAGGCUAGAGUCUUGUAGAGGGGGGUAGAAUUUCAGGUGUAGCGGUGAAAUGCGUAGAGAUCUGAAGGAAUACCGGUGGCGAAGGCGGCCCCCUGGACAAAGACUGACGCUCAGAUGCGAAAGCGUGGGGAGCAAACAGGAUUAGAUACCCUGGUAGUCCACGCCGUAAACGAUGUCUACUUGGAGGUUGGUGUCUUGAACACUGGCUUUCGGAGCUAACGCGUUAAGUAGACCGCCUGGGGAGUACGGUCGCAAGAUUAAAACUCAAAUGAAUUGACGGGGGCCCGCACAAGCGGUGGAGCAUGUGGUUUAAUUCGAUGCAACGCGAAGAACCUUACCUACUCUUGACAUCCACGGAAUCCUGCAGAGAUGCGGGAGUGCCUUCGGGAACCGUGAGACAGGUGCUGCAUGGCUGUCGUCAGCUCGUGUUGUGAAAUGUUGGGUUAAGUCCCGCAACGAGCGCAACCCUUAUCCUUGUUUGCCAGCACUUCGGGUGGGAACUCCAGGGAGACUGCCGGUGAUAAACCGGAGGAAGGUGGGGACGACGUCAAGUCAUCAUGGCCCUUACGAGUAGGGCUACACACGUGCUACAAUGGCAUAUACAGAGGGCAGCAAGACCGCGAGGUGGAGCGAAUCCCACAAAGUAUGUCGUAGUCCGGAUUGGAGUCUGCAACUCGACUCCAUGAAGUCGGAAUCGCUAGUAAUCGUGGAUCAGAAUGCCACGGUGAAUACGUUCCCGGGCCUUGUACACACCGCCCGUCACACCAUGGGAGUGGGCUGCACCAGAAGUAGAUAGCUUAACCUUCGGGAGGGCG